rnacentral:sRNA from 1 species
GAUCUUUGACAUAUUUGGUAAGCGAUAGUAACAAAACAAGAGAUAAUCAUGUGGGGACGCACAUCCCCACCAGUGACUAACCGCCCUUCGGGGCACUAUCGUUAGCCCUAGACCUAUUGUGCUAGGGGAGAAGCCAAGGAGAGGCAGCGGGUGAGUAAGCACUCCCUCCACCACUUGCUUGGACACUCGGUGAGCGAAACACCCUGACGAUGC